UUCUCAUCAAUCUACGUAUAAAUAACACGACUUUUACACUUUCUAGUUGCGUGUAAUGCAUACGCCAAAUGCCAAUUUUGCGUGCAUAUGAUACGCCAAUCCUUCACAUUAAUUUCGGUGGAGAGCAGAUGCGUCCAAAUAACACGCAUCAUGUUCAGCGGCAGUGACGUCACUAGCGAGGCUCGUCUAAUUCACCUGAUGCGCGUACACCUUCAAACAGGUAAGCAAGGUUACGUCGGAUUACAUACUCCACAACAACCUGUAAUCCAGCAGCUCUUUAAAGAAGCCAUCUCUUGUAAAAUCUCUCUCUCUCUCUCUCUCUCUCUCUCUCUCUCUGCUAGAAUUAACAGGGAACUUCAACUCGCUGAUUUUGAAGAAGCUGUCAAGGGGGCUGAACAAGUCCUUCAAAGGUUCAACCCUUCACAGGAAGGCCUGUCAUGAGAUUUGAAUUUGACCAUCUUGUGCAUUUAUGAAGACGACCAAAAGCUGCAAAGGCAAACACUUCCAAUGGUACAAACUGAGAGUUUGCAUGAUGGCAUUUUCUCAGACGCUGAAUCUGAUGUGUACAGAUGAACUCAGGAGUCUGCUAGAGUUGCCAGGGAACUUGAGCUUGAACUGAAGACCAGAAACGCAAAGAAAAUCAGUCAAACCAGUCCUAAAAAAAUGAGGAAUGAACAUGGACUUCUUGGGCCCAAAAGAAAAGACAGAAAGCUCCUAGAAUGAGCAAAUCAUCUGUGCAUCAUCUCUGUGAUUUGGGAAGGAAAUGACUGAAUAUGAUGAAGCCAGUUGAUGAAGAUAUCAAUUGAAUGGCCACCGAGUGCAGCACUGCUACCUGAACCCAUCAGUUAUCUGCUGUGAAGACUGCAUUCACAAACCGCUCUACUGCGACAGCUCAGAUGUUACGGCCCGUAAAAGUAAACAUCACAGCUAAACAAUGAGAGCUAGUUGUGGGGGGAUUCUUUUGGCCCAUAUCUCCAACAAGAAUCAAUGACAUUUACACCAGGUGGAGAGUGAGGAGGACCGUCAGAGACUCCAGCCACCCGAGCCAUGGAUUGCUCUCACCCUUACCAUCAGGCAGACGUUAUCACAGAACCUACACCAGCAGACAGUGAGACAAGUUCCUUUCACAGGCAAUCAGACUGAACUGAACUCAUACCAGUAAAACCAUACACAUCCCACCAACCUCAUAUGCCCUGCACUCUUAUCAGUUACGCUGACUGGACUCAAUAUUAUUAUGCACCCUGACAUUCUGUUUGCACUAAUUCAUACCGUGCUGCACUGCAGAGAUGUAUGUGUACUGUGAUUAUUAUUGUCUUCAAUUCAUGCUCUCUGUAUAGCAUAAUUUUCUCUACAUGUAUUGAGUCCCUUAUAUAUGUGUGUUGCAUAUAUAUUCAGAAUUUGUAUUUCAUAUAUAUUCAUUAAUUCAUUCAUGUGUCAUCCAUACUGUCAUGCUGCAGUCUGCACCCACGACUUUCACCACCUGUAUACUU